rnacentral:siRNA from 1 species
GCAACGGACCAUCUGCAGACCAUU